UACAGAGGGUGCAAGCGUUGUUCGGAAUUAUUGGCGUAAAGCGCGUGUAGGCGGCCGUGCAAGUCGGGUGUGAAAGCCCUCGGCUCAACCGAGGAAGUGCGCCCGAAACUGCAUGGCUUGAGUACCGGAGAGGAUGGCGGAAUUCCCCAAGUAGAGGUGAAAUUCGUAGAUAUGGGGAGGAACACCGGUGGCGAAGGCGGCCAUCUGGACGGAUACUGACGCUGAGACGCGAAAAGCGUGGGGGAGCAAACAGG
rnacentral:rRNA from 1 species